GACGAACGCUGGCGGCGUGCUUAACACAUGCAAGUCGAGCGGUAAGGCCCUUUCGGGGUACGACGAGCGGCGAACGGGUGAGUAACACGUGGGUGACCUGCCCUCAGCUCUGGGAUAAGCCUGGGAAACCGGGUCUAAUACUGGAUAUGACUCCAUGACGCAUGUUGUGGGGUGGAAAGCCUUGUGCGGCUGAGGAUGGGCCCGCGGCCUAUCAGCUUGUUGGUGGGGUGAGGCCUACCAAGGCGACGACGGGUAGCCGGCCUGAGAGGGCGACUGGCCACACUGGGACUGAGACACGGCCCAGACUCCUACGGGAGGCAGCAGUGGGGAAUCUUGCGCAAUGGGCGAAAGCCUGACGCAGCGACGCCGCGUGAGGGAUGACGGCC
rnacentral:rRNA from 1 species